rnacentral:rRNA from 1 species
GGUUAAGCGACUAAGCGUACACGGUGGAUGCCCUGGCAGUCAGAGGCGAUGAAGGACGUGCUAAUCUGCGAUAAGCGUCGGUAAGGUGAUAUGAACCGUUAUAACCGGCGAUUUCCGAAUGGGGAAACCCAGUGUGUUUCGACACACUAUCAUUAACUGAAUCCA